GAUGAACGCUGGCGGCGUGCCUAAUACAUGCAAGUCGAGCGAACAGACGAGGAGCUUGCUCCUCUGACGUUAGCGGCGGACGGGUGAGUAACACGUGGAUAACCUACCUAUAAGACUGGGAUAACUUCGGGAAACCGGAGCUAAUACCGGAUAAUAUAUUGAACCGCAUGGUUCAAUAGUGAAAGACGGUUUUGCUGUCACUUAUAGAUGGAUCCGCGCCGCAUUAGCUAGUUGGUAAGGUAACGGCUUACCAAGGCAACGAUGCGUAGCCGACCUGAGAGGGUGAUCGGCCACACUGGAACUGAGACACGGUCCAGACUCCUACGGGAGGCAGCAGUAGGGAAUCUUCCGCAAUGGGCGAAAGCCUGACGGAGCAACGCCGCGUGAGUGAUGAAGGUCUUCGGAUCGUAAAACUCUGUUAUCAGGGAAGAACAAAUGUGUAAGUAACUAUGCACGUCUUGACGGUACCUAAUCAAAAAGCCACGGCUAACUACGUG
rnacentral:rRNA from 1 species